CAAGAGGAAUAUUCUUUGGAACUCAAUUGACUCUUACACAUGUUUAGCACUUCAUUUCAAUGUGCAAUCCUUGCUUUGAUUUGUCUCAUAACCACAUUGAGCCCUGGCUUGAACCAACUUGUAUUAUACAGUACCACCUCUUACUGUAUUGCUGAAACAUCAGUCUUGAUAGUCGCCACCAAUAGUAAUAUCCCUGUAUCUCGGUGCUCCUGUAGUUUGCACAUUCAGUCUCACCAGUAUUGUUGAGCUAUUUGCCUGUAUAGAGAGUCAUAUGAGUUGCUUCCCUACAAGAGAGAAGAAUUCAAAAAGGGAGAGAGUAGAGAAGAAGGAAAAUGAGAGGGUGGUGGGGUCGUGCGGACACUUUGGACGGUGAGGCAUAACUCGAAGUUUCUCUGAUGGCCGACAGCGAGGUUUGACAGCGAGGUGUGCUAUUUUCGGGUCCUUUCCGGUCCACAGAACCUGAUCUGAGUUAAGAAGUCCUCUUCCCUCCACUAUCAACUUGUAAUAGCUGUUGUCAAAUUUCGGAGGGCUGGCAAAAUCUAGCGGGGUGAUGUUGUUAUCACCUCCAGUGCGUGGGCAGACUGAUGCCAGUUUGUGAUAGAACCUUUUCUCCAGUGUCAUGUCCGGUUUGUUAUCUCUAUGCUGAUUGUAGUGGCACAUUUACAAUGGCAAGAUUUUUGAACAAUUACAGUGGCGUAUUUCAUAAGCAAGAUUUUUGUACAA